GGACAGAUGGCCGAGCGGUCUAUGGCGCUACGUUCAGGUCGUAGUCUCGAAAGGGGCGUGGGUUGGAAUCCCACUCUGUUCA
rnacentral:tRNA from 1 species